ensembl:lncRNA
GUUCUUGCGACAGUGAGUUAUCGUGAGAUCUGGUUGUUUAAAAGUGUCUAGCACAUCCGCCUUCACUCUCUCUUGCCACCAUGUGAAGUUGUGCUUGCUUCUCCUUUGCCCUUCUGCUGUGAUUGUAAGUUUCCUGAGCCCUCUCGAAGCCAUUUCUCCUUUAUGGCCUGUGGAACUCCUUUAAGCCUCUUUUUUUUUUAAAUUACGCAGUCUCAGAUAGUUCUUUAUAGCAGUGUGAGAACAGACUAAUAUGGUUAGUUCGUUAUUGUUUUUCUAUUUCUUCUAGAUGUGAUGUUAGAUCCCUAGUGAUAUGUUUUGGCUGUGUCCCCACCCAAAUUGCAUCUUGAAUUCCCACGUGUUGUGGGAGGCACCUGGUGGAAGAUAAUUAAAUCAUGGGGGCCUGACUUUCCCAUGCUGUUCUCUUGAUAGUGAAUAAGUCUCACAAGAUCUGAUGGUUUUAAAAAGUGGAGGUUUCCGACAAGCCCUCUCUUUACCUGCCGUCAUUCAUGUAAGACGUGACUUGCUUCUCCUUGCCUUCUGCCAUGAUUGUGAGGUCUCCACACCCAAGUGGAACUGUCUUGAACUUGGCUUGAGGAAACUCUCAACUUAUUUAAUUUUGCCUCAGCAUUUUCCUUUGGUCAACAUUAUCUGGAGAAAAUUGACAGGACUCACAGUGACCUCCUGCUCAUUACCCUUCCCUCUCAGACUCAGCACUCGGUAUCAGCAUGAAACUAACAUGUUCCACUAAUUCCAGAGGUUUGACUGGGAACAAAAAGGUACUGGAUCGGGAGACAUUUUAGUGAGCAUGGCCUUUGGGGUUUGUUGCCUCUUUCGGUGGGGAGGUAAGUGUUUGUUAACUUCUAUACAGAACCAUCCCAGUGUGCUUUUCUCUUAUGACAGGCUUAAAUUCUACCAGCUAAUUUUUACUCUUCUAUUAAUAAUGCUCCUUUUAUCAGCAGCAUCAAAAUUCUUGCCAGUUCUCUGAAAAUCUAGCUGUAGAAACUCUUCUGGAUUUUAGAGGGUUUGAUAUAAUUAGUUUCAAUAAUGUUUUCUGAUAGUAUUGUUAGAAAAUCCUGCUUUUCCUUAUAUAUGUGAUAUUAUUUCAGAUUUAAGAUUGUGAUGACUUUUGCUCAGGAACAGACUCUUAAAUACAGUCUGAGAUUUGUUUAAUAUAUGCAUGUUUCCAGACAUACGAAUACCAAAAAAAGAGGAUUAACCAUGCAAAACGUUGAAGGUUCCACUGACAGUUCUGCCUUAGUAUUGGAAAUAGCUAUUGUGUCCAUUGGCUUCUGAGCAGCUUUCUUAAACUCCUGACCUCCAGCGAUCCUCCAUCUUCAGCCUCCCAAAGCACUGGGAUUACGUGUGAACCACUUUGCUGGCAAUGAGCAGCAUUUUUAUUUGUCUGUAUGUAUAUAUGGACAGGUCCUCCUCCUGAGUAAUAGGAAAACCAGGUUUGAUUCCAGCAUUAUCUUAUUUUGCUGUAUCACCUUUAUUUAUCUUUAUAUUUAGAAAUUUUAUUUGCUGAUUGCUUUUAAACUUGUGUCUUGGUUUCCUACAUUCUUGAUCCCAAGUUGGUCCUUGCAGCUCUAGCAUUUUAUGGUUAUGGAAGA